UUUAACGAGAGUUUGAUCCUGGCUCAGGAUGAACGCUGGCGGCGUGCUUAACACAUGCAAGUCGAGCGAAGCGCUUUACUUAGAUUUCUUCGGAUUGAAAAGUUUUGCGACUGAGCGGCGGACGGGUGAGUAACGCGUGGGUAACCUGCCUCAUACAGGGGGAUAACAGUUAGAAAUGACUGCUAAUACCGCAUAAGACCACAGUACCGCAUGGUACAGUGGGAAAAACUCCGGUGGUAUGAGAUGGACCCGCGUCUGAUUAGCUAGUUGGUAAGGUAACGGCUUACCAAGGCGACGAUCAGUAGCCGA
rnacentral:rRNA from 1 species